rnacentral:rRNA from 1 species
AGCGAACGCUGGCGGCAUGCCUAACACAUGCAAGUCGAACGGCAGCUCAGUAAGUGCUUGCUCUUACGGGCGGCGAGUGGCGGACGGGGGAGGAAGACAUCGGAAUCUACUCUUUCGGGGGGGAUAACGUAGGGAAACUUACGCUAAUACCGCAUACGACGUACGGGUGAAAGCAGGGGAUCUUUGGACCUUGCGCGAUUGAAUGAGCCGAUGUUGGAUUAGCUAGUUGGCUGGGUAAAGGCCCACCAAGGCGACGAUCGGAAGCGGGUCUGAGGGGAAGAUCAGCCACACGGGAACUGAGACAGGGUCGAGACUCCUAGGGGGGGAAGCGGUGGGGAAUAUUGGACAAGGGGGGAAAGCCUGAUCCAGGAAUACGGCGUAGGUGAAGAAGGCGUUAUGGCUGUAAAGUCCUUUUGUUGGGAGGGAUGUGCAGCAGGUUAACACGGCGCUGUAAUGACGGUACCCAAAGAAUAAGCACCGGCUAACUUCGUG